CUUUACACCUCCACCUGUAGGCCGAACAUUUGGCGGGAAAAUGAACUUCUGCCCGAGCUGCAAUGAUACACAGAAAAGAUUGAUGGCAUUUUGCGUGAGGGUGUAGCUGCAGCCAAAAAACAGGUGAGCUUAGCACAAAGAAGAGGAAACCAGUCCUGGCCAUUUUCAAAGAAUGUGCCCCUGUGUCUGUCGAGGAAACUCCAAAAGGGCUGAGUCAGAGAUCCCAUCUCUUCCGGAGGCAGGGCCAGUGGUGCUCUCCUUUGAAAGGCAACAUGGAAAGAUCAACGGGCAUCUCCUGAGGGAGCCACUGGGCAUUACUGUGCUGCUGCCCCCCUCAGCCAAACAGCGCUGAGGCCUGUAGUCUGCUGCUGUUGCUGCUGGCUCUCUGGAACAUCCAUCCAGAUGAGAGCGCAUGCAGGGAGGAUUUCUGCGCUGUUGUGUUUAUAUUUCCUCCCUCGCAGCACCAUGGAUACCAGUCAGACAGUGCCAAGGUAGGACCACCUCAUAAAUUCACAUACCCAUAAAUAUUUGCCCAUGUUU